GGACUGAAUUCUAAUUUUUCUUGGCUAUAAGCCUGCAAAAUAAUGUUUUCAAUCUUUUUCCUUCUUUUUUUCCCCCAUUUUUCCUAAUUUGGAACCACCAAAAACUAAGUUGUGCUUUUGUAAAGCCCUGUGAACUGAAGCUAGACAACUAAAUUUCAGAAGAAAAUAACAGCAACCUGUUUACAUACCUAAGCCACUUUCAUACCUGCCUACUGAUAUGUGGACUUCAUAGUAAUGUGGCCUAUAUUGAUUUCUCAGGAUUGUUCUUUAGUCUGAUGUUGUUUUUCUCCCUUGCUCCCCCUAUUUUCUCUUCAUAGGAUAUGAGACUUCACAACCUGCUGAAAAUGAGCUUUCCUCAUAACUCAGGACCUACGCGUCUAGGAAUAAACCAUCCUAAACAUGAAAGAUCAGACAAAAUGUGAGACCAGAGACUCAUUUACAGGAUUUCAAUACUUUGUUACCGGAUAUGGACUGGUAUAUGAAAUGAAAUAAAUGGCCAGAUAGGUGCUAAGAAUUUAAAUAGUUCACUUGUUAUACCAAGAUUGUUUCAUGAGAUACAAGCAAUUCAAACCUGAAUCCUGCAUCUCUCUUCCAAGUUAUCAGUCCAGAGAAUGAACUCUUGUGAACAAAGGAAAGGGAGAAAUGAAGCUUGGGAUUGGGAGUAGAUGUGUUAGAGGCUAAGAGGUGGAAAUGCUGGCCUUCUAUCCACUACGGGGACCUACCACCCAAAGAGCACACCAUCACAAGGUAAGAUGACUUUCCUAUGAAAUCCAUUCCCUCCUUGAGGCCUGUGGCCUGACAUAGAUCUGGGACAAUCUGGGAGAUACACUCUAGUUACUUAAUGUUAAGGAAUAUUAGGAAAUGGAGCCCAAGGAAGUUAAGUCCAAUCCUGGGAUCACAGACUGGACUCAGCACACCUGAUGCUUUCAGACAUCACUUAUAAAUAGAUACUCCCUUCUCUCACUCAGGCUUCAUACCCAGUGGAGAAACAUACUCCUGAUAUCUGUAUGUCCCUGAUUUGUCUGCUUUUGUUGAGUCUUGAAUCAUGGGUAAUAUUAGGCAUAUAUCCACUCCCUUUCUCUGCGUUCCCACAGGUCCCAUCCAUUCAUUCAAUAAAUAUUUUCUUAGCAUGUACCUGCCACCUGCCAAGCAUUGGUAAAUUCCAGAGAUAUUGUACCUCUUCUAGGGCCUCGUAUUCUCACCCACAUUCACAAAUAGAGACAUGCAGACUUUAUUGGAAAAAAAUUAACUGGCUUCUACACAACGCUUUAAACUGAGGUGAAUGGGACUGUCUUCACCUGGUAAUCAGGGUAACUGGAUUUCAGCCCAGAAUCUUCCACCAACCAGCUGUGUGACCUCAGGCAAGUCACCUCUCUUUUCUGGCCUCAUCUUUGCCUUCUGUAAAGUGAGACCCUUGGUCUAGGAUGGGUGAUCUCUAAGUUUCUUUCUCAAUUUCCCAUUUUGUAAUUCUCAUUCUUUAAUAAAAAUAGGCCCUGUAUCUGUUGUAGGAAAAACUGAGAUUAUUAUCUGGGGGAAAUUGAUAACCUAGAUUUUUUUUCCUAGCAAACUGUAGGGUCUAGUAUAUUUUCUGAGCCACAUCAGGAACUGUGUCCUGAGCUCAAGGAAUGGUAUAGUACAGGCCUCUUGGACCUUCACAUAUCCGAACUUCAGAGAAAGCUCCCGUUAAAAGCAAUUAAUACAGCAUACCAAAGGGAGAGAAGAGAGGUGACAACUGUAGUGGUUUUUGCCCCGCCUUGAUGAGAUGGGAAGGGGAAUCUAGCAGGUGGGGCAGACAACGCUGCCCUUGGGGCAGUUUGUGCUUCACAGUGUUGUGAAGUCCAACUAAGAGGGUUUUGUCAAGAUUCUUUUUUCUGUGUGUUUAAACAGUUAUACAACAAUUGAAUUAGUCUGCUCGCCUAGACUCCCUGCCAUGAAAAUCAUCAAACAAGCCUGGAAGAAUCCUACUGCGGGGCCUUUGCCAGCAGAGUGCUAGGAUUUCUGGAAGCUGGGCAUCUUCUCACACACAGUGGCCAGCGUUGGCUUUGGAGUUUCUUACCUUGUUUUCCCAGCACCUGAGGAGAACUUUGGCCCCAAAGAGACUGCCCAGGUCUGAGGCAAUGCUAUUUGACAUUGUAUCCUCGGUCAUGGGAGUAAAUAUGCCCCCUUCAGGUGUGGCACAGACUUGAGAUUUAUGCUGAGGUCAGGCCUCACAGCUGCCUCCCAGGGCUGCUGUCCCAGGUGGCCCCUUCCCACGCACCGGCCACCGUGGAGGGAUUAGCACGCACGUGUGUGUAUGUGUGUGUGCGUGUGUGUAUACGUUUGUGUCUUUGUGUCAGUAUUCCUGUGAAGGAGGCAGUCCAAGGGACCAGCAGGAGGAUUUGUAGCUGGUGUGUGUGUGUGUGUGUUUUGUAUCAGUAUGUCUGUGAAGGAGGCAGUCCAAGGGACCAGCAGGAGGAUUUUAUUAUUACUGCCUAGAGACAUCUGAUGCAGGGGAGCCCUGGUUUCUUGUGGUUGAUAUACCUGGGUAAGGAAAAGGGAGCUGAGAAGGAAUCGGAGAAAACUGAGCAAAAAGGAUGAAGGCAGGAGGAAAUAGCUGAAAGAAGACAGAAGAGCCCAGCUCAGACACAGGUGGUUAGCAGUUCCUCAGGGUUCCUGAGCAGUUCCUUUGGGGUCCAGGGUUUGUGAGGCUCUGCUGGACCACAGGCAUCAGACACCCCUGAGGGAGGCAGCUCUGCACAAAGAGGAUACAGUAGCUGGAGUAGCCAAUUCAUCCAGCCAGGAAUCUUCUGGCCUCACAGCAUCUAAAGGGAAAAUGCAGAGAGAGCAAAUCAGGAUUCUUGAUUAUGGGACUCCCUGCGGAGGACAAGGCCCUAGCGAAAGUUGGACAUCAUCUAAGAGUUCUGGCUUCAAAACUCUGUAUUGUGUGGUCUUUGUGCACCGUCUUGUGGAGUGAACAGUGACUCCUGAAGGCUUGCCCAGACCAGGAUCAUUUCCGUUGGGAGUAUCAUAGACCAAAGUCCAUCCUCAAAAUCUGGUCUCCACUCUCACAAAAGGAAUGCAUACAAAUGUCAUCCAACUGAAAGUCCUAUUUCAGAAACCUUUUGUCCACUCUCCUUCUAUUCUAGUAAUGAUUACAGUAGGCUAAACAUUGUUUAAGUUCCAAAAGGCAGAAAACCAGAAAAUUUUUUUUAAAAAUUGUAUUAUAUGAAGCAAUGCUUGUAGAACAAUCUAUCCUCUAUAAGCAGACUAUUUUCCUUGUACUGAUCAAUAACUACUCCUUUAUUAACUAUCUUUUCUUUCCUGUCUCUUCAGUGAGUUCCACGCAUACCUCACUCAGUCACACAACUGUUGACACAGUCACAAAACUGCAGUUUGCAGAUGAGGCAACUGGAACUCAAAGAGGUUAUGUAAUUUGUGUAAGAUUACACAGUGUGUAAGUGACAAAGUCCAGAGUGCAAUUCAGGGCUACCAGUUUGCAUGGUUUUCCACUGAACUUCACUGUUGGCAGAAAAGAGAUGUAUAAAAAUAUUAUUUAGAUAGCUCCUUCCACCCACACAGAAUUUAUUGCUACUAAUUGAAUGGGCUACUGAGUAAUGUUAUUAAAAUAUUAUUUUAGGUGUGACAUUUUGAUAAGAAUGUUUUCUUUUUUUUUUUUUUUGAGACAGAGUCUUGCUGUGUCACCCAGGCUGGAGUGCAGUGGGGCAAUCUUGGCUCACCAUAGCCUCCGCCUCCCAGGUUCAAGCGAUUCUCCUGCCUCAGCCUCUGCGGUACCCACCACCAAACCUGACUAUGGUUUUGUUUUGUUUUGUUUUCUGAGACAAAGUCUUGCUCUUGUUGCCCAAGCUGGAGUGAAAUGGUGUCAUCUUGGCUGACUGCAACCUCCACCUCCCAGGUUCAAGCGAUUCUCCUGCCUUAGCCUCCCAAGUAGCUGGGAUUACAGGCACCCGCCUACCACCACGCCCAGCUAAUUUUUACACUUUUAGUAGAGACAGGGUUUCACCACGUUAGCCAGGUUGGUCUCGAACUUCUGACCACAGGCGAUCUGCCCGCCUUGGCCUCCCAAAGUGUUGGGAUUAUAGGCGUGAGCGCUAAUUUGUAUUUUUAGUAGAGACGGGAUUUCACUGUGUUGGCCAGGCUGGUCUUGAACUCCUGACCUCAAGUCAUUCACCCGCUUCAGCCUCCCAAAGUGCUAGAUUAGAGGUGUGAGCCACCACAUCCAGCCAAUAGGGGGAUUUCUUGAGUUACUUCUUGUGUGGUACAGUAUAAACCAUCUCCUCUCUUCCCUAUGAAAUUAUUAGUAAAUGUUACAUUUAUUACUA
ensembl:lncRNA